GAUGAACGCUGACAGAAUGCUUAACACAUGCAAGUCGAUGGGGAAGUGGUGCUUGCACCAUGGUAACCAUGGCGGACGGGUGAGUAACGCGUAAGGAACUUGCCUGCGGGACUGGGAUAACAGCAGGAAACUGCUGAUAAUACCGGAUAAGGUCAUUAAGCUGCAUAGCUUAGUGAUGAAAGGAGACGCCUGCGGAGAGCCUUGCGUCCUAUUAGCUAGUUGGAGGGGUAACGGCCCACCAAGGCGAAGAUAGGUAGCCGGCCUGAGAGGGUGGACGGCCACAAGGGGACUGAGAUACGGCCCUUACUCCUACGGGAGGCAGCAGUGGGGAAUAUUGGACAAUGGGGGCAACCCUGAUCCAGCAAUUCUGUGUGCACGAAGACGGUUUUCGGAUUGUAAAGUGCUUUCAGCAGGGAAGAAGUGAGUGACGGUACCUGCAGAAGAAGCGACGGCUAAAUACGUGCCAGCAGCCGCGGUAAUACGUAUGUCGCGAGCGUUAUCCGGAAUUAUUGGGCAUAAAGGGCAUCUAGGCGGCCUUCCAAGUCAGGGGUGAAAACCUGCGGCUCAACCGCAGGCCUGCCUUUGAAACUGAUAGGCUGGAGUACCGGAGAGGUGGACGGAACUGCACGAGUAGAGGUGAAAUUCGUAGAUAUGUGCAGGAAUGCCGAUGAUGAAGAUAGUUCACUGGACGGUAACUGACGCUGAAGUGCGAAAGCCGGGGGAGCGAACAGG
rnacentral:rRNA from 1 species